AUGGGAUUCUGGGUAGUUUCCACGAGAGGAUUAUUACACAAAGCCCGGGCCACACCCCGGCUGGCGCCCAGCUUCCUGUCUGGCGCUGUGAUUUCUGCUCCCGUGGGUGUUCCCACCACUGCCAUCGCCACGUGGGGAUGUGGCCUGCACCGGGCUGCUUGGAUGCUCAGCUUCCAAAACUGGGAGCUGAAUCAAUCUCCUUUCUCUACCAAGUCAGCCUGCUUCGGGUAUCUCAUCGCAGAAAUACAGACUGCACGGACCGGGGUGAAGACUCAACCGUCUGCACCUCUGGGAUGUGGGAUCCAGCUCCGUUCAGAGCUACUUAGACCCAAACUGCAAGCUUGUCCCCGCCAUUUCUGCCUGUUUCUGUACUGUGUUUCUUCUCUCUCUUCCCCAUGCUUGUCCCUGUUCCAGGACCCCUGUGCCUUGGUGAGCUGUCUUGUUUCCGCCCUGAGUCAAACCCAGAGCAGAAGCCCAGGCUUCUCUCUCUCUCUCUCUCUCUCUCUCUCUCUCUCUCUCUCUCUUUUGACAGGCAGAGUAGACAGUGAGAGAAAGAGAGAGACAGAGAGAAAGGUCUUCCUUUGCCGUUGGUUCACCCUCCAAUGGCCGCUGCAGCAGGCGCACCACGCUGAUCCGAAGCCGGGAGCCAGGUGCUUCCUCCUGGUCUCCCAUGGGGUGCAGGGCCCAAAGACCUGGGCCAUCCUCACUGCCUUCCCGGGCCACAGCAGAGAGCUGGCCUGGAAGAGGGGCAACCUGACAGAAUCCGGUGACCCGACCGGGACUAGAACCCGGUGUGCUGGCGCUGCAAGGCGGAGGAUUAGCCUAUUGAGCCGCGGUGCCGGCCACCUCUCUCUUUUUGAGGAAGAAUCAAAUCACACUCAGCGUUUAGUGUACUGGACAACUGUGCUGAAGAUUCGGGGGCGAUGGGAAGGAAGGCAUAACACCCUGCACGACUCCCCGCUGUGUUUAUGGUCCCACCACUCUCCCCAUCUCUGCCUGGAGACAUCAUGGAAGGCUUCCCAGGGGAGGAGACAUUUGGCCUGA
rnacentral:lncRNA from 1 species